rnacentral:lncRNA from 1 species
CGACUCAGGGUUAAACUAUCAACCCUGAUUAGAUCAUCCGAGUCGUGCUCAACUCAAUCAGUCCUGUGACUCCUCACUAGGACUACCCUGACCAAGAUUUUGCUAAAUUAAAACACGACUGUAUACAGCUCCUGAACUGGAGUGGUCAAUCCCAUCUUGACACACACACCGACAAGUCAAAUACUUGACACACCCAGCAACCUUCCGUCACUGAAUUAGAAAUUCAGGUAGUCCAGUGCCUAAGUGUAGUGAGUUGCUUGCAAGUCACCGUGGCGGUC